GGCCGACCGAGACCGAGGGAGACUGAGCGGAGCGCACGCCCUGGAAGGAGAGAGCCGGAGAGUUCGGGAGGCAAGACCCCCAGAGACGAGAGUCGGAGGGAUCAAACGACACAGAUGGAGUCUUGCUCUGUCACCCAGACUGGGUACAGUGGCACGAUCUCGGCUCACUACAAACUCCACCUCCUGGGUUCAAGAGAUUCUCCUACCUCAGCCUCCCGAGUAGCUGGGACUACAGGUGCGUGCCAGCAUGCCCAGCUAAUUUUUUGUAUUUGUAGUAGAGAUGGGGUUUCACUGUGUUAGCCAGGAUGGUCUCGACCUCCUGACCUCAUGAUCUGCCCGCCUCUGCCUCCCAAAGUGCUGGGAUUACAGGAGUGAGCCACCGCACCCAGCCGACCCUACUUCUAAUAGUAUGGAGAACGCUAAUAGUCCUUGGCACGAACUGUUUAGAGAAUUAGGCAAAAUAAAUGCAUUUGACACUCCUGAUUCUUCAUUCAUGAGAGGCAAGGAGUUUAGUGACUCUAUACAUAAUACCUUUGACCAUAUGUGGAGAACCAAGGAACAUAAGGAAGCUGGUUGGUUGCUCCUAAGUUCAGAGGACAAAGUGAUGAAAGAAAAUGAUGAAUUCAGGGAUUCUGUCUCCCGGGUUCAGAAGCAGAUACUGAGCCUCAAAUCUGCUAAGAUUGCCCUGAGUAAGAGUCUUAUCUCUUGUAGAGAAAGAGCUGAAAUUGUGGAAAAACAGAUAUAAACUCUUAUCUUGCAAGUGGCUGACCAGCAAUGAAAGACGCAUGUACAGCCUCACCAGGUGUCUCCUGUUAAAGUGAGGGCAUUGAUUGGAAAAGAAUGGGAUCCUGCAACUUGGAAUGGGGACAUGUGGGAGGACCCUGAUGAAGCUGGGGACACUGAGUUUGUAAACUCUGAUGAAACUUUUUUGCCAGAAGAAAUAGCUUCCCCAUCCCCAGUAGUGGCAACAUCCCCUCCCCAACUCAUGCUGCCAUCAGCCUUUCCACCUUUGUCUGAGGAGAUAAACCCUGUACAGCCUGCAGCAACAGUGAUGGCCUCCCCUGAGGCAGUUUCCAGGCAAGAUAAUGUUGAUUCUCCUCGGGAGCCACCCCCAACAUCCCUGUUUGCUUCCAGACCUAUAACUAGACUAAAGUCCUGGCAGGCCCCUAGAGGUGAGAUUUAGAGUGUGACCCAUGAGGAGGUAUGCUACACUCAAAAAGAACUGCUUGGUUUUCUAAUUUAUACAAACAGAAAUCUGGAGAACAGGCAUGGGGAUGGGUAUUAAGGGUGUGGGAUAAUAGUGGGAAGAACACAGAGUUGGAUCAGGCUGAAUUUGCUGAUUUGGGCCCACUAAGUAGGGACUCGGUGUAUUAGUCUGUUUUCAUGCUGCUGAUAAAGACAUACACAAAACUGGGAACAAAAAGAGGUCUAAUUGAACUUACAGUUCCACAUGGCUAGGAAAGCCUCAGAAUCAUAGUGGGCAGUAGAAGGCAUUUCUUACGUGGCAGCAGCAAAAGAAAAAUGAGGAAGAAGCAAAAGCAGAAACCUCUGAUAAACCCAUCAGAUUUCAUGAGACUUAUUCACUAACAUGAGAAUAGCACAGGAAAGACUGGCCCCCAUGAUUCAAUUACCUCCUACUGGGUCCCUCCCACAACACAUGGGAAUUUUGGGAGAUAAACCUCAAGUUGAGAUUUGGGUAGGGGCACAGCCAAACCAUAUCACUCCACCCCGAUCCCUCCCAAAUCUCAUGUCCUCACAUUCCAAAACCAUCCAUGCCUUCCCAACAGUCCCCCAAAGUCUUAACUCAUUUCAGCAUUAACUCAAAAGUCCACAGUCCAACAUCUCAUCUGAGACAAAACAAGUCCCUUCCACCUAUGAGCCUGUGAAAUCAAAAGCAAGCUAGUUACUUCCUAGAUACAAUGGGGGUACAGGUAUUGGGUAAAUACAGCCAUUCCAAAUGGGAAAAAUUGGCCAAAACAAAGGGGCUACAGGGCCCAUGCAAGUCCAAAAUCCAGUGGGGCAGUCAAAUUUUAAAGCUCCAAAAUGAUCUCCUUUGACUCCAGGCCUCACAUCCAGGUCACGCUGAUGCAAGAGGUGGGAUCCCAUGGUCUUGGGCAGCUCCGCCCCUGUGGCUUUGCAGGGUACAGUCUCCCUCCUGGCUGCUUUCAUGGGCAGGCAUUGAGUGUCUGCGGCUUUUCCAGAUGCACAGGGCAGUGAAUCUACCAUUCUGGGGUCUGGAGGACGGUGGCCCUCUUCUCAUAGCUCCACUAGGCAGUGCACCAGUAGGGACUCUGUGUGGGGACUCCAACUCCACAUUUCCCUUCCACACUGCCCUAGCAGAGGUUCUCCAUGAGGGCUCCACCCCUGCAGCAAACUUUUGCCUGGGCAUCCACAUGUUUCUAUACAUCUUCUAGAAUCUAGGUGGAGGUUCCCAAACCUCAAUUCUUGACUUUUGUGCACCUGCAGGCUCAACACUGCCAAGGAACAUAAUGGAAGCUGCCAAGGCUUAGGGCUUCCAUCCUCUGAACCCACAGCCUGGGCUGUACGUUGGCUCCUUUCAACAACUACUGGAGCAGCUGGGACACAGGACACCAAGUCCCUAGGUUGCACACAGCAUGGGGACCCUGGACCCAUCCACAAAACCACUUUUUUAUCCUGGGCCUCCACACCUGUGAUGGGAGGGGCUGCCAUGAAGUUCUCUGAUAUGGCCUGGAGACAUUUUCCCCAUGGUCUUGGGAAUUAACAUUAGGCUCCUUGCUGCUUAUGCAAAUUUCUGCAGCGAGCUUGAAUUUCUCCCCCAGAAAAUGGAUUUUUCUUUUCUAUCACAUAGUCAGGCUGCAAAUUUUCCAAACUUUUAUGCUCUGCUUCCCUUAUAAAACUGAAUGCCUUUAACAACACCCAAGUCACCUCUUGAAUGCUUUGCUGCUUAGAAAUUUCUUCCACCAGGUACCCUAAAUCAUCUCUCUCAAGUUCAAAGUUCCACAAAUCUCUAGGACAGGGGCAAAAUGCCACCAGUCUCUUUGCUAAAACAUAACAAGAGUCACCUUUGCUCCAGUUCCCAACAAGUUCCUCAUCUCCAUAUGAGACCACCUCAGCCUGGAUUUUAUUGUCCAUAUCGCUAACAUCAUUUUAGGCAAAGCCAUUCAACAAGUCUCUAGGAAGUUCCAGAGUUUCCCACAUUUUCCUGUCUUCUUCUGAGCCCUCCAAACUGUUCCAAUCUCUGCCUAUUACCCAGUUCCAAAGUCGCUUCCACAUUUUUGGGUAUCAUUUCAGCAACACCCUGCUUCUGGUACCAAUUUACUGUAUUAGUCUGUUUUCACUCUGCUGGUAAAGACAUACAUGAAACUGGGAACAAAAAGAGGUUUAAUUGAACUUACAGUUCCACAUGGCUGGGGAGGCCUCAGAAUCAUGGCAGAAGGUGGAAGGCACUUCUUACAUGGCAGCAGCAAGAGAAAAAUGAGGAAGAAGCAAAAGCGGAAACCCCUGAUAAACCCAUCAGAUCUUGUGAGACUUAUUCACUAUCAUGAGAAUAGCAUGGGAAAGACCAGGCCCCAUGAUUCAAUUACCUCCCACCGGGUCCCUCCCACAACACAUGGGAAUUCUUAGAGAUAAAAUUCAAGUUGAGAUUAGCGUGGGGGCACAGCCAAACCAUAUCACUCUGCAUUUAAUGUUGCAGCUUGGGGAGUUAAAAAAGGUUCUAAUAGUUUAUUUGCUUGGUUAGCUGAAAUAUGGAUUAAAAGAUGGCCCACUGUGAGUGAGCUAGAAAUGCCUGAUCUCCCUUGGUUUAAUGUAGAGGAAGGGAUCCAAAGGCUUAGGGAGGUUGAGAUGAUGGACUGGAUUAGUCACGUUAGACCUAAUCAUCCCAGCUAUGAGGGUCCAGAAGAUAUACACUUGACUGAUGCCUUGCAAAAUAGAUUUGUGAGGCCAGCACCUGCACCUUUGAAGAGCCCUUUAAUUGCUCUUUUCUGUAUGUCAGAUCUAACAGUGGGAAACACAGUCACUCAACUACAAAAUUUAAAUACAGUGGGAAUAAUUGGAUCCCAAGGUGGCAGGGGCCAAGUGGCGGCACUCAACCGUCAAAGGCAAGGUGGGCAUAGCUACUGUAAUGGACAGAAGCAGCAAAGCAGCAAUCACAAUAGUCUGAAUCAUGUAGAGCUCUGGUAUUGGCUAAUUAAUCAUGGUGUUUUUAGAGGUGAAAUUGAUAGAAAGCCUACUGAAUUCCUACUUUAUGUAAGCAGAAAACUUCUUGAUCAAAUUGACAAAAGACUAAUUUGAAUUAUAAAAACAGAGAAUCAUGGCCCCUCAAUCAAUUCCCAGAUUUGAGCCAGUUUACAGACCCAGAACCCCCUGAAUGAAGGGGAGGCCAGGUCCCCUUGAGGAAGGACCCCACUACAUUGCCAACAAUUUAUGCUGUGAAUCUUUCUCCCAUCCUUCCCCAGGGAGACCUCUGGCCUUUUACCAUUGCAUUGGGGAAAGGGAAAUUAUCAGACAUUUCAGGGACUACUGGACAUUGGCUCUUAGCUGAUGUUGAUUCCAGGGAACCCAAAAUAUCACUGUGGUCCUCCAGUUAAAGUAAAGGCUUAUGGAGGUCAGGUAAUUAAUGGAGUUUUAGCUCAGGUCUGACUUACAGUGGGUUCAGUGGGUUCCCAGGCUUAUCCUGUGGUCAUUUUUCCAGUGCCAGUAUGCAUAAUUGGCAAACUAAGACAUACUUAGCAGCUGGCAGAACCCCAACAUUGGCUCCAGUUCUGAAUCUUGAACUCAGUGGUGGUUACACAAAUCUGCACGUGAUAAAAUGGCAUAGAACAACACACAGUACCAAAGCCAACCUCCUGCUUUCAAUUUCGAUUAACAAUAGCUAAUUAACCCAGCAUGCCCCAAUGGGGCCACGGGGGGGGGGGGGGGGGGUGAAAGGUAUAUGGACCUCUCUCUGUCACCUGUGCAACUUCCUGUCAAUCUAUAUUCAAAACAAAAAGAUUUUUUAAAGGGACAAGAAUAAUUCCCCAAAACAAACAGUGAAACAGUGCCAAUUACAGAUGUAAUAGUUUUGCUCAUGAGUACAAAUUGUUUUGUACAUGAAAUAUUUUACUGAAUUUGAAAUUUUGAAAUUGAAAUGUAUAAUUGUUUUAUUUAUUUUUAUUUAUUUAUUUUUUUGAGACACAAUCUUGCUCUGUCACCCAGGCUGGAGUGCAGUGGUGGUGAUCUCGGCUCACUGCAACCUCCGCCUCCCAGGUUCAAACGAUUCUCCUGCCUCAGCCUCCCGAGUAGCUGGAAUUACAAGUGCCCAUCACCAUGCCUGGCUAAUUUUUAUAUUUUUAAUAGAGACGGUGUUUUGCCAUGUUGGUCAGGCUGGUCUUGAACUCCAGACCUCAGGUGAUCUGCCUGCCUUGGCCUCCCAAAGUGCUGGGAUUACAGGCAUGAGCCACUGAGCUCAGCCAUUUCUUUUAAAACUCUGCUGCUUGUUUAAUUUUUAUUUGUUACUAGACCAUAACAGACCAAUAUAUGGGUUGAAGGCUUUCCCCCUUUAGAGAGUACAUGAUUGUACAUUGAAAGGACUAAUCCAUUAGGCUUUUUUCUAUUCCUUCUCUAAUAGUAUUAUUUAUUUAAUUAUUUUACUGGCAUGAAGUUCAGUAAAAGUUUACCAUUCCAGUUCCUUGCUUGCCAUUAUUAUGAUUAUGAUUGUUACUCAUGUCAUUUCAUAAUUAUUAUUAAAAAAUUUUGCAGUGCACUGAAGGGAGGAUGGGAUAGAGGUCCACGUGGACUGUCAGAUCUGCCAGAUGCUACUGUGGGUGCAAUUGUCCGUGUUAACCAGAAUGAUCUUCCCUGGCACCAGGGUCUGACCCUGGCUCUGCCCAGUGCCCCGCCCCUGCGCCUCUGGACCUGAGUGGUAAAAAUGCAGAGGCCCACACGAUCUUGAGUCAUGAGGAAAAACUCACUCUGCAUUUGGUUCUUAGAAGGAAACACAUGUUGGAAAGCUUUAUCCCCCCAAAAAGAAAACUCAACAGUCUUCAUGCCGACAGGGGUAACUUUAGAUGAUUUGGGACACAAAACCCAUGGAUGCCUGGGGAGAAGCCACGUGGGCCAGAAACCAUCAGGCCUGGGCCAGUGGGAGCCCCAGGAGCAGCCCUGGGUGCAAAAGCUGGUGCUCAGCGCACAGUGUUCCCUUGGUGGGCUCAGGCUCCUUGUGUGUGAAUGGUGCCUGGCGAUGCCUGCCUCCACUGCCACGAUGAGCUCAGUCCCCAUGGCCCUGUGUCAUCAUUGCCACAGAUACACAUUACUGGUCUCCUCCCACACAAGGAAAAUUCAGGGCCACACAAGCCCUAGAGCCCCGAAUGCCACUUUGCAGCUUUGUGGCAUUAGCAAAGCUGCUUCACGGCGGAACCUCGGUUUCCCUGUCUGUGACAGGAAGGCUGGAUUCAAGAGUUCUCAAGGCCCCUGCCAGCCCUGGCAUUAUUGGGGUUUUCACCAUGCAGUGACUUAGGAAUUCAGGCUGGUUCCAUCUUGCACCAUGCAGCCAAACGUGGAUGUGAAGGGGCUGGGCAGCUGCCGCCCAGCAACCACCUCCUGCUGGGGCAGGGGAAGCCCAGUGCUGGUGGACAGCUGGCCGUCCCUACCACUGGACUUCAUUCCAGGCUGAGGGGAUCUCAGGUGUAACCUGCACCAGAAAGAAAAGUGCCACAUAAGGAGAGACACACGGGGGGAACGCCAUGUGACAAUGGAGUUAUGAAGCUGCAAGCCAGGUCAUGCCCAGGAGUGCCAGCAGCCACCAGGAGCUAAGGAGAAAGAGUGGGAUCCAUCCUGCCCUGGACCCUGCAGAAGGGGCACAGCCCUGCUGGUGCUUUCAUUUCAGACUUCUGGCCUCCAGAGUUGUAAAAGAAUAAACUCACUCUGUGGUUCUAAGCUGCCCAGUUUGUGGUAGAUCAUUACAGCAGCCACCGGAAACUAAUACGUGAUUAUAUCAUUAAUAAGUGGUAGUGUCAAACUCAGACUAGUUUGGCUAUAAAAUUUCUGCAAUGCUACUUUGUUGUUUUGGUGAUUUCAAGCAAAUUAUUUCACCUCACUUCUCUAUGCCUCAAUUUCCUUUUCUGUAAAAUGGCAUUACUGAUGAAACUUAUUUCGUGGAGUUGCUGUGAGGUUUAAAUACAGUAGGUGUGGUAUCAGAGGUGAACAUGCCCUUUUCCGAUAAGGUAUUUGCAUGUAUCAUGGUGGGAAAUUUCUUCUGCCUGAAAUCUUCUUAGUUCAGGGAUUCUGAACUAAGGAUUCAGAUUUUCAUCUGCUUUAUUGAAGGGUGUGUAUACUAUAGUUAUUUAGGCACAGGUCUGUUCCUUGUUUGAGGUCUUGAUGUUCAAAAAUUUAAAGUUAGCCUUGAAUACAGGGAAGAUUUUGGUUGCAUGUAUUUCAUUAUGGGGUAUACCUUUGCCCUCUCCAGCACAAAAAAAAUAUUACUAAAAGAAAAUUGAUAAAUUCCUGGCAACAUACAACCUCCCAAGAUUAAAUCAGGAAGAAAUUGAAACCCUGAACAGACCAAUAAUGAGUUCCAAGAUGGAAUCAGUAAUAAAAGACCUACCAACAAAAAGAGCCCUGCACCAGGUGAAUUCACAGACAAAUUCUACCACACGUACAAAGAACAGCUGGUACCAAUCCAACUGAAACUUUUCCAAAAAAUCAAGAAGGAGGGUAAUAUGGUUUGGAUCUGUAUCCCUACCCAAAUUUCAUGUUUAAAUGUAAUCCCCAACGCUGGUGGUAGAGCCUGGUGGGAGGUGAUUAGAUCAUGGCAGUUUCUCAUGGUUUAACAUCAUCCCCCCUUGGUGCUGUGGUCACAAGAGUGAGUGAGUUCUCAUGAUAUCUGGUUGUUUAAAAGUGUGUGGCACCUCCCCUUUCUUCUCUUCCUACUGCUCUGGCCAUGUGGAGUGCUUCAUUCCUUCUUUGCCUUCUGCCAUGAUUGGAAGCUUUUUGAGGCCUCCCCAGAAGCAGAAGCCACUAUACUUCCUGUACAAACUGCAGAACCAUGAUCCAAUUAAACCUCUUUUCUUUAUAAAUUACCCAGUCUCAGGUAUUUCUUUACAGCAAUGGGAGAACAGACUAAUACAGAGGGAUUCCUCCCUAACUCAUUCUAUGAAAC
rnacentral:lncRNA from 1 species